rnacentral:lncRNA from 1 species
GGUACUGAGAGUUCCCUGGACUGCUGGGAUCCAGCAGGGGACAGGGAGGAAAUCUUGAGGUGCAUGUUAAAGGUGGGUGCCUCAGAGAGCGGGGCUCAUGGAGUCUGCAGCUGCACUCCUGGGCGCCAAGGGGGAAUGACAAGGGGUGGAAGAGCCUGUGUGGGGUGAGGCCUCUGCAUCCGAGGCCAGUCUGCCUGCAGGAGACAGUAAGAAAGCCAAGGAUCUCUGGGCAAGAAAUGCAAGCCACUUUUCUGUACAGGGAGAUGUUUGAGUGUUGUUCAUCCUCAGGUGUCUGUUUCCCCUUUUUCCCUCCAGGCAUGAGCAGAGUUAGUGUCCUUGAAUUUCAAAGGCAUGCAAGUAUCAGCAUCCCAACUAGAGGUAUGUGGGGGGCCUUGAGGAAUGUGGAUUUGGCCUCUGGCCCUGUAGGCUCUGAUUCCGAUGGCCUUGGAAGAGCCCUUCAACUGACAAGCCUCGCUGGAUUCUGGAGAGGUUCUUUGGGAUGAGACAGGGAGAGUUUGGAAUGAUGGCACAAGAAGUUACUAAUCCAUUUCCCUAUGUUCAUAAGUCUGUAACAGCAGAGGUAAGAUCGGGCUAAUGGUAUUAAUGGGGUAGGGCUGGAGGGCAAGAAGCUACUAGAAAGAGCUCUAGCGCCUGAUGACAAUCACAAGCUGCAACACCAGCCAGCAGAGUGCCAGCCUGGUCUUCCCAGACUUGUUCACCUCAUCAGACUGCCCUGAUGGAUGUACCAACUGCCAGAUGAGGGAAGUCAGAGGCUCAUGACCCAGCCAGGGGCAUUUCCUAGGCUGCUUCUCCGAAAGGUCAAGAGGCAAGACAGAAAGGCUCCCGGAGACCCAGCCCAGGAAAAAUUUUUGAAUCCAGGAGGCCCCCAACUCCCCGCCGGUGCCCGGCUCUCGGCGAAAGCAAGCUGUGAGCACGGCGCCCUCUGGUGUCGCGGAGCUGUAACUGCGUGGGUGCCACCGCCGGAGCCGGCCCCGACCCACCGAGGGUGAUGGUGAAGACCCCUGGCACUGCCCCGUGCCUCCAACUCCACUUCCGGGUCUCCU